UCUGUAAAAUAUGACCAAUAUCUGUAUAUAUUUGACCAAUAUCUGUAAAAUUUAGGUCUAUAAAUUUUAUUCAAUUCCCUCUGGAAGCUACUUAAUAACUCUACGUUCUAUCAUUUAAAAUCUUUCAUUGCCCUGCCAAUCCAGAUGAUUUGCCCUGCCAAUCCAGAUGAUUUGUACUUUGGGGGGUGUCACACCCCCGCCCCCCCUCAAGUUUUGUCCCUGCAAGUCCUCUCUAGAGUCCGAGUCGCGAUGAGAUCGAGCGGAGGGAGGUCGAUCCCUCGGACUCUAGAGAGCAAGGGUGGGUUGACUACAAAAUGCUUGUAGUUUGCUAUAACUACAGCUACUUCAAAAAUAUGUAGUCAGCUACAACUACUGCUACUUUUGAACAAAGGUAGUUCGCUACUGACUACAGCUACUGCUUAAAAAAUGUAGCGAACUAUUUCGCUAUUUCGCUACACUAUAUUUUUUAGUUUUACUAUAUUUGGAGCAUCUACUAACUCUAGUCCAGUUCUGGCCCCUGACAGGAGCGCGGUCAGCGGCCAGACUGGACUACUACUAACUCAGGCUGUAAUGUAAUCUAUGGCCAUCUAUAACAAAUCGACUUACGAGUAGCAACAGUAAACACAAAGCAACACGUUUUUGUAAGCACUACAGUGUUCAGGAGUGCAAAUUGACUAUUGAGUAUUGAUUUUAAGCAAACCGUGUCUCAAUAUCAUGCUAUUCUAUCAAGUUGCUAACAAUUUUAAAAAGUAGCGAAUAGCGAUUCGCUGUUUGAAAAGUAGUCAACUACUUGGCUACUUUUAGGCAAAAUGUAGUUCGCUAUAACUACAGCUACUGUUUUAAAAAAGUAGUCAAAAACUACUGGCUACUUCAAAAUUGUAGUUCGCUACAGUAGCGAACUACAACUACUUCGCUACAACCCACCCUUGCUAGAGAGACGGACUUGAUCCAAGUCUAAUUUUUCAACUGCUGUAAAAUGCAACUGUUGUAAAACUACGAAUAUGGAUCCCACAGUUAACAAAGGGGAACUUCAAGUCUUCAACUUGUAUAUAGAAAGUUUAAUCUUGGUUAUACCAGUCAACACGGCCAAUUUAAGAAAGCUGAAAAAAUCACUAUCCGUUAUAGCUUGUGUGUCAGACUGUAAAACUAGACUCAGUAUUUAAAUGCCAGGUUAUUGUGAUUCAGCAAUACCUAGUUAUUACAGUAUAACUGCCUCUUCUGUAUAGUAUUAUCCUAGAGUAUUAUAUGGUAAUAUUUGUCUAAAUAUAUAUAAGCUGUAUAAGUAUCACAUGACGUUUAAAACGAAUUGCAAGUAAC